rnacentral:misc_RNA from 1 species
GGAUGAUCGAUCCACAUACAACAGAUACAAAAAAACAACAUAUCCAGUGUAAUUCCAACAAGUGGAGUUAUCCACGUACAACAUAUAUGUACAGAAACACAUCGUCCGAGUCUCGUGAAAUAUAUGAAGAUUCAUUUCGUUGGAAGAAAGUAUCCUAAAGUUACUCUAAAACCUAACUUCAUACCUGACAAACCUGGACGUUAGCAAUGGUCAGGAUCUUCUCACUUGUUUAAUCAGAAGCAAAAAAUAAGAGCCGUGUAAGUCGGGCAUCCGAUAUAAUAUCAUUCAAAGUUCAUCCGUCCAUCCAAUGUUGUACAUAAUGAUAUUGCAAAAGGCUGCUAACAAUUGAUAAUGUUCUGUGACAUACUUGACCUUAACAUAUUGUCAACAAUUUCAGCUCUUCUUAUUUCUAGCUUCUGCUUUCCAAUUUCUC